rnacentral:rRNA from 1 species
UGGGGGAUUUUGGACAAUGGGCGAAAGCCUGAUCCAGCGACGCCGCGUGGAGGACGAAGCCCUUCGGGGUGUAAACUCCUUUUCUCAGGGAAAAAAGAUGAUGGUACCUGAGGAAUAAGCCCCGGCUAACUACGUGCCAGCAGCCGCGGUAAUACGUAGGGGGCGAGCGUUACCCGGAAUUACUGGGCGUAAAGGGUGCGUAGGCGGCCUUGCAAGUCCGGUGUUAAAAGCCCUGGCUCAACUAGGGAGAUGCGCUGGAAACUGUAAGGCUUGGGUGCAGCAGAGGCAGAUGGAACUGCUGGUGUAGGGGUGAAACCCGUAGAUAUCUGCAGGAACGCCGGUGGAGAAGUCGGUCUGCUGGGCUGUGACCGACGCUGAGGCACGAAAGCUAGGGGAGCGAACC